rfam:Caenorhabditis tropicalis strain JT1373 unplaced genomic scaffold Scaffold630, whole genome shotgun sequence.
UGUCCACUGAUGACAACCUUACAUACACCAUUACGAUCUCUGAAGACUUCGUGCUGAACAUGUUUCCAUGCAACACCAACUGAGGACG